UACCGAGUGCGGGCCCUCUGGGUCCAACCUCCCAUCCGUGUCUAUCUGUACCCUGUUGCUUCGGCGUGGCCACGGCCCGCCGAAGACUAACAUUUGAACACUGUCUGAAGUUUGCAGUCUGAGUUUUUAGUUAAACAAUAAUUAAAACUUUCAACAACGGAUCUCUUGGUUCCGGCAUCGAUGAAGAACGCAGCGAAAUGCGAUAAUUAAUGUGAAUUGCAGAAUUCAGUGAAUCAUCGAGUCUUUGAACGCACAUUGCGCCCCCUGGUAUUCCGGGGGGCAUGCCUGUCCGAGCGUCAUUGCUGCCCUCAAGCACGGCUUGUGUGUUGGGCUUCCGUCCCUGGUAACGGGGACGGGCCCAAAAGGCAGUGGCGGCACCAUGUCUGGUCCUCGAGCGUAUGGGGCUUUGUCACCCGCUCCCGUAGGUCCAGCUGGUAGCUAGCCUCGCAACCAAUCUUUUUAACCAGGUUGACCUCGGAUCAGGUAGGGAUACCCGCUGAACUUAAGCAUAUCAAUAAGCGGAGGAAAAGAAACCAACAGGGAUUGCCUCAGUAACGGCGAGUGAAGCGGCAAGAGCUCAAAUUUGAAAUCUGGCUCCUUCGGGGUCCGAGUUGUAAUUUGUAGAGGAUGCUUCGGGUGCGGCCCCCGUCUAAGUGCUCUGGAACGGGCCAUCGGAGAGGGUGAAAAUCCCGUCUGGGACGGGGUGUCCGCGUCCAUGUGAAGCUCCUUCGACGAGUCGAGUUGUUUGGGAAUGCAGCUCUAAAUGGGUGGUAAAUUUCAUCUAAAGCUAAAUACUGGCCGGAGACCGAUAGCGCACAAGUAGAGUGAUCGAAAGAUGAAAAGCACUUUGAAAAGAGAGUUAAACAGCACGUGAAAUUGUUGAAAGGGAAGCGCUUGCGACCAGACUCGCUUCCGGGGUUCAGCCGGCUUUCGGGCCGGUGUACUUCCCCGGGGGCGGGCCAGCGUCGGUUUGGGCGGCCGGUCAAAGGCCCCUGGAAUGUAACGCCCCUCGGGGCGCCUUAUAGCCAGGGGUGUCAUGCGGCCAGCCUGGACCGAGGAACGCGCU
rnacentral:sRNA from 1 species